rnacentral:tRNA from 1 species
GGGAUCGUAGGGUAGCCCGGACACUUUCAGCGUUCGGGACGCCGGUACCUGAGUUCACAUCUCAGCGGUUCCA